rnacentral:rRNA from 1 species
GACGAACGCUGGCGGCGUGCUUAACACAUGCAGGUCGAACGGAAAGGCCCUGCUUUUGUGGGGUGCUCGAGUGGCGAACGGGUGAGUAACACGUGAGUAACCUGCCCUUGACUUUGGGAUAACUUCAGGAAACUGGGGCUAAUACCGGAUAGGAGCUCCUGCUGCAUGGUGGGGGUUGGAAAGUUUCGGCGGUUGGGGAUGGACUCGCGGCUUAUCAGCUUGUUGGUGGGGUAGUGGCUUACCAAGGCUUUGACGGGUAGCCGGCCUGAGAGGGUGACCGGCCACAUUGGGACUGAGAUACGGCCCAGACUCCUACGGGAGGCAGCAGUGGGAAAUAUUGCACAAUGGGCGGAAGCCUGAUGCAGCAACGCCGCGUGCGGGAUGACGGCCUUCGGGUUGUAAACCGCUUUCGCCUGUGACGAAGCGUGAGUGACGGUAAUGGGUAAAGAAGCACCGGCUAACUACGUG